UGCGAGAGGGAACUCCCGCACGGGGCCGAGCCGCCAUGGCCGGGUACCCGCUCUGGGAACAGACGCGCUCGUUUCCAUUUAAAACGUACGAGAAGUUACAAUUCAAGAUUAGCCCGAAUGUCGGCGUCUUCCGUGUACACUACAGGUGAAACCAGAUAGUCCACUCUACUGGUUCUGUGGUUUGACACUGUCUGGAAUGACUGAAGCAAGGACUGUGCUAAGCAAGAAGCAUAUCAGGUGUCUGAGCUAAAUGUUUUAUGGAUACAAACAAUAUCAUAAAAGGACAUGGAAAUACUGGUUCUCACCAGUGCUCAAGUGUAGAAUCCUAGAAUGGUUUGGGUUUGAAGGGACCUUAAAGAUCAUCUAGUUCCAGCCCCCUGCCAUGGGCAGGGACACCAUAUGAACUUGAUUCACACUGAGUCCGCUUUUGGAAGAGUCACGCUUGGCAUGUGCCAAAGAAGGCAAGACAGGAAACCAGCCCAGAGGCUCCACCUGGAAACCGCUUCUAUCGGGAGAUGAAAGGCUGAGAUGAAGGAAGCUGUAUGUCAGCUAAUGAGCACUGACAGGACCAGUUAGAAUUUUUUUAUAGGUGGAUUACAUUGUGAGAACUCACCCACAUACUUUCCACAGCCCAUUAAAUCACACAGAUGAAACACAGGGAAACAGAAAAUAAAAACCAAAACCCAACCAACUUUCAAAGUUUCAGCUCUUUUCUUUCCAGUUUUGUGAGUCUGACACCUCCUGCUCCUUCAGAAAAGUUUCGGAAAUCUGUUUCAGGUGGAAAAAACUGUUCUUGGUUGUUCUUUCGUUUGGUGACAUACUGCAUUACUGCUUGUGCUACCAACACCUCCUUUCUGGAAGUGUCAGCAUGCCUUUGACUUCUGGACUGCAGGCAGCGUAUUGCCUCUCCUUCAGUGACUGCAUUGGUAAAAUAAAGUCCACGAGUUCCAGUACCGCUGCCUCCCCCUACGGAAAUACUUAUGGAGAGGACACUGCAUUUGCAGACUCAUUCUCAGAACUGCAGCAUGAUUCAAAACUCACUGGAGAUGCAGCAAAAAUUUACAUGGGAGAAAAAAUACUAUCUCCUUUUCCAAAGCUUUACAAUGCAUCAACCAGCAUUUCAUAUUCAUCUCAGAUGAAUGAACCUUCAGAUCAUCAUCCUAUAUUAAUGUGCAUCAGACGUUGAUAGUUCAGGUAAAUCAAAUUAGAGAAGAUUGGUGAUAGUGGUGAUUACAGUGAGAUUCUUGCAAAAUAAGGUUUCCCUCCACAUUUAGUGCUCUUACCAAACACAGCCUUGAAGUAAGGGGCUCUUACUUCCACGGGUUUUGCUAGCUGGGUAACAGAGAGGUUAAGGCAAGAACUGUAAACUUGACCUGACACCCAAAUCCAUAGAAUUAAUUUACAUAACUGCCUAAGUGCAGUAGCUGAGGCACUGAGGAGUCACUGGAGUCACAGGUUGCUGAGGACACCCUGUACUGGUGAAGACCGUUCGGGCAUCUCCUAGGGGCUUUAGGAAGUGAUCUGUCAACACCUGAAUGGGAACUUUUUUAUCUGAUUUAUUCAAGAUCACUCAGCAAGCUCUGAUCAAGGAACAAAAUAUAAACCCUUCAUUUCCCCUCUCUUGUUCUAAGCAGUGUACACAUUAACACCCUGAUCUGAUACGGCAAUCCCAGUCAUUUGAAAUCCAGCAGCAGACUUUCUUGAGCAUCCUUUUAAAUCUCACCAUAGAACACAUUUUUUGGGCAAACAACAUGCUGACUGUGACAAAGAACAUGUCUGUACCACAACCAAGAGGUGUAAAACUGCAACCAUGCAGUCACUGAGCCUGCCAGCACCUUGGGGUAUUUAUGCAGGUGGCUGGCUGAAAGGGCUACCUGAUUUAACUCAAUUAAAGCCUACCCUGUACACCUGCAAAGUGGCUGUACGUAAUCACAGCCUGUCAGAGACAGACACACUCACACAGCCCAUCAGAUUUCCUCCAAGUGAGCCACUGAAGUUCAUUAAAAAUGUGCUGGUUUCCUCUUUGUGUGCUCAGCAAAAUCUGCCAUCAUUGUGAAAUUAAGGGUUAUUCCACGUAUCAGUUUAGUUUUCCCAAAACCAAAAUAUAAUCUCACAUUAAAGAACAUACUACCUACAAAAAUCCCAUUCUGCCUGAAUUUCUAUGCUUGCUCUUACCCACUCCUCUCCCUUCUGACACAACCAAAAGCUAGUGCAGAGAAAUGGGCUUUCUCAGUUAGCUUAUUCUGGACUUUCUUCCCAUUUCCCAAGUAUAAUCAUACUAUUUUUCCACUUUGCUUGUGUGGCCUUAGGAAGAGAAAGAGCUUUAAAGUGGGACAGCCCCCCUCAGAAUAAUUACCUGGAACAUUUGAAACCAUUACAGAAACAGAUUUUCUGUCCCGAGCAUGUAGACUCCAAGUUGUGCUUUUAAUUGUGACAUACACAAAAAUCACUGCACCCAUGUGUCAAACAUGGGUAACUGCAAUGAAAUCACAAGGGGUGGAUGGGCUUUUUUGUUAACGCUUUCUGUCCUAGAUACAUGUUUCUAUGAGAAAAAGAGCAGUGGCCUUUAUCAGGAUGAAUGAGGUGUGAGUUCAUCUUGGAGUCAAUGAUGUGCUCUCAUUUCAAGGGAGGCCUCAUUAUCUUUUGGCUUUAUCUUUCUCACAGACACUAAUUGCAUGGUUCUUCCGCUCUGGUGCUUGAAAUCUCUUCCUGAAACAGAUGAGCAAAAAAUAAAUUCAAUUUUCAUAGCUACUACUGGGCAGCUGGAUGAAGGUGCUGUGAGACAACAGAAGCUGUGUAGGGGAUGGAGCAUCCCCCAGAACUUCUCCAAGGUUUCAGAUCCCUUACAGAGACUGUAUGUGGGUGCAUGAGGAUGUACGCACAUGUACCAGCAUUCUGUGUCUCAGGCUUAUCAUCUUUUGUGAAAAGGUGGAAUGAAGACUGAACACGCUAUUGCUAUCCCAGACCAUGGUACAUCAUGACAGAUAGAGAAAAUGGAUCCUACAGACUCUUUAGAACUGCUAGUGCAAUAAAACCCCUCAAUUGAAAUAUUUUGGCAAAAUUUGUCUAGGGUAAGUAACACUAAAACUGUUCUGUGUAUAUCCAAUUGGUCUUUUUCAACCUCUCCUAUUAUUAACACCAGUCCUGCUACGCUCUCUCAUGACAGCCCCUUGUUACCCAUCUUACCCUAUUGAAAAUGGUCUGUUUGUGCUCCUGCCCUGUCCUGUGGAAGCUGUCUUCACCGGCACUGUUAGCCAGGAUUUACUAGACUUGAUUUUUCCCUGUGAAUGAGAGCAAAAGAAAAAGGUCUACUGACUUGAGCAGCAGCAGCAGCAACCCCCCGUGGUUCAGCUGCCCCCUCCCUGCUAGUUUGAGUGUCAGCAGAAACCCACUCCCUGCUGAGCAAAGCAGCUCAACUUUAAAGCAUCUCUUAAUCCAAGUUAAAAACUCCUGCAUGUGAGCAGGAGUCAGCUGGGGUGAACCUCAAGCUACCAGUGCAGUGAAGACAACUCCAACUUUCAUCUGCUACAGAUAUUCUUCUUCUUGUUACAGCCUCUCAUAAGGGGUUCUAAAAUUGCACCAGUCAGAUUUCUUUUGUCAGGUCUUUUCUCAAGGUUCAAAAGAGGUCUGAGAGCAAGAAGGGAACCAGUCUGCAUCAUCAUAUCACCUUCCUGCACAAUACUGCAUUUGAAUACAGUUCAGCUGUUUUGUUCUUACAUCCUUCACAAUGCCCAAGUAAGCAACACAGAGCUGUGACUCGUUACUCUUUCAGUGUACCGCUACAUCUGUCAUCUCAUAUUCUCAUAUUCCUGUUUAACAAGAAGGCAUCUCCACAGUGUCUUUGAUGAAGAAUACUAUUGCAAAGAACAUAAUCAGCUUUCCCUGCAUCUCUUGUCCUGAAACGUUCCUUCUGCUGCUAGAUUAUGGAAUAAAUUCAAGAUUUCCAUAUGAGUUCCUGUUUCCAAUCCAUCAG